rnacentral:rRNA from 1 species
AUUGAACGCUGGCGGCAUGCCUUACACAUGCAAGUCGAACGGUAACGGGCCUUCGGGUGCCGACGAGUGGCGAACGGGUGAGUAAUACAUCGGAUCGUGCCCGAUCGUGGGGGAUCCCGAGGCGAAAGCUUUGUUACCACCCCAUACGAUUCACGGAUGAAUGCAGGGGACAGCAAGGCCUUGCGCGGACGGUGCGGCUGAGGGAAGAUAAGGUAGUUGGUGGGAUAAAAGCUUACCAAGCCGACGAUCUGCAGCUGGUCUGAGAGAAUGAUCCGCAACACUAGGACUGAGACACGGCCCAGACUCCUACGAGAGGCAGCAGUGGGGAAUUUUGGACAAUGGGCGCAAGCCUGAUCCAGCCAUGCCGCGUGCAGGAUGAAGGCCUUCGGGUUGUAAACUUCUUUUGUACGGAACGAAAAGCCUUCUUUGAAUACAGGAGGGUCAUGACGGUACCGUAAGAAUAAGCACCGGCUAACUACGUG